rnacentral:rRNA from 1 species
AACGAACGCUGGCGGCAUGCCUAACACAUGCAAGUCGAACGAGACCUUCGGGUCUAGUGGCGCACGGGUGCGUAACGCGUGGGAACCUGCCCUUAGGUUCGGAAUAACUCCCCGCAAGGGGUGCUAAUACCGGAUAAUGUCUUCGGCCCAAUGAUUUAUCGCCUUUGGAUGGGCCCGCGUUGGAUUAGCUAGUUGGUAGGGUAAAAGCCUACCAAGGCGACGAUCCAUAGCUGGUCUGAGAGGAUGAUCAGCCACACUGGGACUGAGACACGGCCCAGACUCCUACGGGAGGCAGCAGUGGGGAAUAUUGGACAAUGGGCGAAAGCCUGAGCCAGCAAUGCCGCGUGAGUGAUGAAGGCCUUAGGGUUGUAAAGCUCUUUUACCCGGGAUGAUAAUGACAGUACCGGGAGAAUAAGCUCCGGCUAACUCCGUG